CGUACUGAGACACGGACCAGACUCCUACGGGAGGCAGCAGUGAGGAAUAUUGGACAAUGGGAGCAAUCCUGAUCCAGCCAUGCCGCGUGCAGGAAGACUGCCCUAUGGGUUGUAAACUGCUUUUAUACAGGAAGAAAAAGCCCGACGUGUCGGGUGUUGACGGUACUGUAAGAAUAAGGAUCGGCUAACUCCGUGCCAGCAGCCGCGGUAAUACGGAGGAUCCAAGCGUUAUCCGGAAUCAUUGGGUUUAAAGGGUCCGUAGGCGGGACAAUAAGUCAGUGGUGAAAGUCUGCAGCUCAACUGUAGAAUUGCCAUUGAUACUGUUGUUCUUGAGUGCUUGUGAAGUGGUUAGAAUGAGUAGUGUAGCGGUGAAAUGCAUAGAUAUUACUCAGAAUACCGAUUGCGAAGGCAGAUCACUAACAAUUCACUGACGCUGAUGGACGAAAGCGUAGGUAGCGAACAGGAUUAGAUACCCUGGUAGUCUACGCCGUAAACGAUGGUUACUAGCUGUUCGGAUCAAUUGAGAUCUGAGUGGCUAAGCGAAAGUGAUAAGUAACCCACCUGGGGAGUACGUUCGCAAGAAUGAAACUCAAAGGAAUUGACGG
rnacentral:rRNA from 1 species